rnacentral:lncRNA from 1 species
GUUAAGGGUGUUUUUAACCGUGGCAUGCCGACAGAACCGGUGAGACGCGUCUAUGGCCGAGCAAGUUGAUUCUUCAUCUCUGUUUGGGGGCGUGUCUAGUACAGCUGCUGCUAAUUUAUCGUCAAGUAAUACGACAGCGCACUCCAGUGAAACAAUCUUCUCCACGAGCGGGAGGAGCGAGCAAGGGGGGAGUGAAUCUGAAAGAGGUAGAAAAAGGCAUCGUGAGGACCCACCCAAGGCUGUUGAGAAAUCUAAACGGGCUCGUGUCAGCUCUGUGGACAAGAGGAGUGAAUGCGGGAGACAAACAGUCACGGAAGUCCCUACUCCAGUGGCUAAGCCACGAAGUCGUGGUCGCCCGCCGUCCUCUGCUGCUGAGAGCACAGCAGGCUCGUCAAAGCUUCGCAAGCCGUGGAAUUCUGGCACAAGCUCGAAGGCAACAGUGUCUGGCUGGAGUGCCAUCAGCAUUCCAGAAGUCCCCAAACCUAAAGAGGCAAAAUCACAGUCCCGCAAGCUUCUCCUAACAUCUGGUGGUCCAUUCACAGUCAAAAAGUCGCUCAGAACACGCCUGCUCCCAGCGCACGUACCAGCUCUGGCAAGAGAGCUGUCUGUGAUCAUCAGUAUUCCUCUUCCUCCUCUACUUUAGAUCUAGAUUCUGUAGCUGAGGCAACCCCAUCGACAACAAAAAGUAGUCUACGCAACCAAUCUGCCACUGCCAAAAAGGAGCAACAGAGUGGCCCAACUGCCUCUUCUAAACGCUUGCUCCGCAUCCUGAAGUAAGUUAUCUUCCUCAUCUAAGUUUUAAACCAGAGACAUAAGUGUCAUCAGCUAUUUAAAUACUUGACUCCUACAGAAUACUAGCAUAAAUCCCUAGACCUAUUAUGAUACCCCUACCCUCUCAUCCCAGCUUUAACUAAAACCAAAAUUUCUUUCCAAUUUCAGAUCCCUUCCAAGGCCGCAGUAUCCCCUGGAUAUAAAGCCUAAAACAACAUAAAAAAAAAAUAAAAAAAAAAAAUAAAAAAAUACUUGACAUUUGGACAAGACACGGCUCUUUAAACGAGAAACUACUAUUGAAGGAGAGUCAUGGAGCCAGAAUUAGCCAAGAAACAAUAUGAUUGCUCUAAACCAUCAAGAUUGAAAUUGGCUCGAAGUAAAACUGAUCUAUUAUUUUUGAGGCCUUCUUUUUAAGCAAGAAGCAAAAAAACCAUCUGAGUUGAGUAAUUUAGUUAAUUCUCUUGAAGCACUUGCUUGUAUCUUGUAUAUUGAUUAUGCUUGUUAAUUUUUCAGUUCAAGUCACACUGCAGUUUCUUUGGGUAACCCUGAAUUGCCAAGCGAGCAACCAUUGCCAGCCUCUGUCAAAUUUCAAUCGUCAACUUCGACCUCAGCUGGCAGUUUCACACACUUUUCCAUUUCUACAAACCAUCCCGCCUCUAAGAAGAAACAUUCUAGAACUUCUGCUUCAGGUUAAAAGUCGCAGAUAUAUCUUUAAAUUUAGUUCUAGUAUUUUUUCUCAGGGACUAUAAACUCCGUUUUCCAGAGCACGUCUUGGAGGGGUUUAGUAAUGAUUAUUUUCCUCUGUAUUGAUAUGGUUUUCCCUCUCACUUUCCCACAUAAUUUUACAGAACCCUUGUUUGCUCUUUUUGACAUUAAUGUGCAAUAUUUGGC